GGUCCAUGAUGCAGACACUUCCUCAAUAAAUCCUUGAAUCUUUCCCACACUUCAUAAAGUGUUUCUAUAUCAACUUACAAGAAAUUGGUGAUAUCAAUCCUUAUCUC